UACGUAGGGUGCGAGCGUUAAUCGGAAUUACUGGGCGUAAAGCGUGCGCAGGCGGUUCGUUAUGUCCGUUGUGAAAGCCCCGGGCUCACCCUGGGAACGGCAAUGGAAACGGGCGAGCUUGAGUGUGGCAGAGGGGGGUGGAAUUCCGCGUGUAGCAGUGAAAUGCGUAGAGAUGCGGAGGAACAACGAUGGCGAAGGCAGCCCCCUGGGCUGACACUGACGCUCAGGCACGAAAGCGUGGGGAGCAAACAGG
rnacentral:rRNA from 1 species